rnacentral:rRNA from 1 species
GAUGAACGCUAGCGGCAGGCUUAAUACAUGCAAGUCGAGGGGCAGCAGGGGUAGCAAUACUCGCUGGCGACCGGCAAACGGGUGCGGAACACGUACGCAACCUUCCCAAAACUGGUGAAUAGCCCUCCGAAAGGAGGAUUAAUACACCGUAACAUAAUGAAGUGGCAUCACUUUAUUAUUAUAGCUCCGGCGGCUUUGGAUGGGCGUGCGCCUGAUUAGGUAGUUGGCGGGGAACGGCCCACCAAGCCUGCGAUCGAUAACUGGUGUGAGAGCACGACCAGUCACACGGGCACUGAGACGACGGGCCCGACUCCUACGGGAGGCAGCAGU